GAAAAUCAAAUUUCAUUGAAAAGAAUCGAUAGAACAUUUCAUCAAAUCAUUGAUAAUGAUAGCCGAAAUUGGAGAUGGGCGCUAUUAAUCGAAAUACACUCAUCAGACACAGGGGAAGGCAUGAUUGUACUGUAGCAAAAACAUCCAUCCUCGCAUAUAAAUUUCCGACUCCAGCUCAUAAAAAUUAGUGCAUAAACAUCUCCAGGGCAGUAUUCGUCGUGAAUUCGAACCAAACCUCGUUCAAGAAAUUAUCAUCCUCUUUCUCAGCCGUUGGCGCCGUGAAUCCUGUCACCGGUCGUGUUUGGUUUCGGGAAGUGCAACAACCCCCAAUUCCCACCAGUACCUUCCCAUCAGCGUCUCAACCAGCGCAUAAAUGAUGUGGUCGCUGCCAGCAAUCAAGCUUUAGUGGCCGCCGAUUGAUAAAUCACAGUUGAAGAGGAUGAAGCAAUUUUGUGCAAAAAAGAAUUAUGGAUCAUUUUUAUGAGGAAAGAUGACAGAUCAUUUGCUGAACACACUGAUGAGAAUUGCUUCAGCCUCUUUAAGAACAUAUCCAAUGAUUGGGUUGUUCAUUUCGG
rnacentral:lncRNA from 1 species